rnacentral:misc_RNA from 1 species
UGGACUACCCGGGUAUCUAAUCCUGUUUGCUCCCCACGCUUUCGCACCUCAGCGUCAAUACCAGUCCAGUGAGCCGCCUUCGCCACUGGUGUUCUUCCGAAUAUCUACGAAUUUCACCUCUACACUCGGAAUUCCACUCACCUCUCCUGGAUUCAAGCGAUGCAGUUUUAAAGGCAGUUCUGGAGUUGAGCUCCAGGCUUUCACCUCUAACUUGCAAAGCCGCCUACGUACGCUUCACGCCCAGUAAUUCCGAAUAACGCUAGCUCCCUCCGUAUUACCGCGGCGGCUGGCAC